UGGGCUGGUCAUAAGACCCAGGUCCAUCACAGGCGGGGAAGUUCCCC
rnacentral:sRNA from 12 species